rnacentral:tRNA from 1 species
AGAUGAUGAUCCCAAGCCUUCUGGCGAUCUGUUUGCACAAGCCUCUGAGAGGGAUGAAGAUAUUGUUUUCUUUGAUCAGAUUAUGCCGGUAAAGGUUUUCUGGUUUACCCUAUAGGGCUUGUAGCUCAGUUGGUUAGAGCGCGCGCUUGAUAAGCGUGAGGUCGGAGGUUCAAGUCCUCCCAGGCCCACCAGUUACACGAUGCUAAAAGUUGCUAUAUUGGGAGAGUUGAUAAUCCCUUACAGGAAAUUAUUGCCCUUAAUAAAACUUUAUUUUCUAAAAGCAUUCAGAGCUGACAUAGAAUAGAGCUGACAUAGAAUUGAGAAUCUGACAUAGGAAUUAUUGAAAUUGUUUUGGAAUUAUUGAAAUUGUUUUCUAUCAUUUUAAAAGGCUAAAAUAUUCUGUCUCUAUUUUUAAAAUAGCAUCAGGUGUUUUGUAAGAGUGUGAAGUUUUUAAGUGUGAGGUUUUUUAUAUUUUAGUGUGAGGUUUUUAUAAGGGUAUGACGUGAGAGCGUUUUGACCUGUUUUAGGGGCCGUAGCUCAGCUGGGAGAGCACCUGCUUUGCAAGCAGGGGGUCGUCGGUUCGGUCCCGUCCGGCUCCACCAUAAUUUGUUUCAUCAUUAUUGUUAGAAGAAUAGUUAUUGCAAGA